rnacentral:rRNA from 1 species
GACGAACGCUGGCGGCGUGCCUAAUACAUGCAAGUCGAGCGGACCUCAUAGGAAGCUUGCUUUUUAUGAGGUUAGCGGCGGACGGGUGAGUAACACGUGGGUAACCUGCCCUAUAGACCGGGAUAACUCGCGGAAACGCGUGCUAAUACCGGAUAACACAGCGGAGCGCAUGCUCCGGUGUUGAAAGGUGGUUCUGCUACCGCUAUAGGAUGGGCCCGCGGCGCAUUAGCUAGUUGGUGGGGUAACGGCCUACCAAGGCGACGAUGCGUAGCCGACCUGAGAGGGUGAUCGGCCACACUGGGACUGAGACACGGCCCAGACUCCUACGGGAGGCAGCAGUAGGGAAUCUUCCGCAAUGGACGAAAGUCUGACGGAGCAACGCCGCGUGAGUGAAGAAGGCCUUCGGGUCGUAAAACUCUGUUGCCGGGGAAGAACAAGUGCCGUUCGAACAGGGCGGCGCCUUGACGGUACCCGGCCAGAAAGCCACGGCUAACUAC